AAUCAUUUUUACAAUCACAACUGAUUCAUUUUUCCUCAAAAGAUUAAAUGCAAUUGCUUUCAUUCAAAAUCAUAGAUUUUCUAAAAUGCAUUUAUAUCUCUUUCUGUUCUUCGGAACUUAAUCAGCCUCUUGGCUUUCCUAGAUAGUCAUAAGGUUGAAAACCAACAAUCUUUAUCCCAGACUAUAAAACCAAAUUCAGAACACAUCCAAACUUUCCCCCUGGAGUGAUAAGGAACUUAUUAGACUAGAGGUCAAUGAGGGAGAAACUGUACUUGUUACAGUAAAUAAGGAUGUGAGGGAUAGUGUACCCACAGCUCUACCUCUCAAGGAGAAAAGGUGUUUUCAAAAUUGAGGUAACUGUUGCUCAUCUGUAUUCUCUCAAAAGAAUAUAGAGCUGAAAAGGCAAUAAAACAGUCUCUGGAAUCAUUCUCUCAACAGGAUGAGUCCAUUGAAAUUCGCUCGUCAGCCAGAGCAUCUUGUAUUGAGUCAAGCACAUCAUCAGUAAUCACUCUGAUGAAG
rnacentral:lncRNA from 1 species